rnacentral:sRNA from 1 species
UUCGUCCGUGGCUUAUAGAGGAUGAAGAACCUCCGAAGGAGGUUUGAGCCGAGCGUAGCGAGACCACGUUGCGCAGCAACGCCCGAAGGGGGCGCAUCUUUGAUGCGCAUAAUCCUCUCUCGCCGACCA